UUUUUUNNNNNNNNUCAGAUUGAACGCUGGCGGCAGGCCUAACACAUGCAAGUCGAACGGUAACAGGAAGCAGCUUGCUGCUUCGCUGACGAGUGGCGGACGGGUGAGUAAUGUCUGGGAAACUGCCUGAUGGAGGGGGAUAACUACUGGAAACGGUAGCUAAUACCGCAUAACGUCGCAAGACCAAAGAGGGGGACCUUCGGGCCUCUUGCCAUCGGAUGUGCCCAGAUGGGAUUAGCUAGUAGGUGGGGUAACGGCUCACCUAGGCGACGAUCCCUAGCUGGUCUGAGAGGAUGACCAGCCACACUGGAACUGAGACACGGUCCAGACUCCUACGGGAGGCAGCAGUGGGGAAUAUUGCACAAUGGGCGCAAGCCUGAUGCAGCCAUGCCGCGUGUAUGAAGAAGGCCUUCGGGUUGUAAAGUACUUUCAGCGGGGAGGAAGGCGAUAAGGUUAAUAACCUUGUCGAUUGACGUUACCCGCAGAAGAAGCACCGGCUAACUCCGUGCCAGCAGCCGCGGUAAUACGGAGGGUGCAAGCGUUAAUCGGAAUUACUGGGCGUAAAGCGCACGCAGGCGGUCUGUCAAGUCGGAUGUGAAAUCCCCGGGCUCAACCUGGGAACUGCAUUCGAAACUGGCAGGCUAGAGUCUUGUAGAGGGGGGUAGAAUUCCAGGUGUAGCGGUGAAAUGCGUAGAGAUCUGGAGGAAUACCGGUGGCGAAGGCGGCCCCCUGGACAAAGACUGACGNNNNNU
rnacentral:rRNA from 1 species